UACGGGGGGAGCAAGCGUUGUUCGGAUUUACUGGGCGUAAAGGGCGCGUAGGCGGCGUGGCAAGUCACUUGUGAAAUCUCCGGGCUUAACUCGGAACGGUCAAGUGAUACUGUCGUGCUAGAGUACAGAAGGGGCAACUGGAAUUCUCGGUGUAGCGGUGAAAUGCGUAGAUAUCGAGAGGAACACCUGCGGCGAAGGCGGGUUGCUGGGCUGAUACUGACGCUGAGGCGCGAAAGCCAGGGGAGCGAACGGG
rnacentral:rRNA from 1 species